rnacentral:lncRNA from 1 species
UCGAGGACAAGGCUGAUUUGAAGAGGGCGGGUCUGUUAAGACUCUAGCUUGGAGAGUCCUAAUUGAGAGGGACAUUCAUGUAAAAAUGUUAGGACUCUAGCUAGGAGAGUCCUAAUUGAGAGGGACAUUCUGUUAGGACUCUAGCUAGGAGAGUCCUAAUUAAGAGGGGCAUUCAUGUAGGAGGUUUUUUCUUAGAGAAGAAUUAGGAGUUGUAAGGGA